AUGAGGUGGAAACUUGUCUCUUUCUCCUUGGCCGGAAGGAGAAACUUCCUACCUUCUUGAAAUAUCCCUCGGCUAGAUAGAAUGGAUAUCCAUUUGUUUUUUCUAGAAAUAACCCUCCCUCCUAGAGAUCCCCCACUAUCAAUGAUAACGUUUAGGAAACCUAACGCACAUCUGCGCCGUAAAGAACUCUUUCUUUUACGUAGUCAUAGCAUCACUGAACGAUAUCCUCCUUCACCACCUACAUGCUCCACCGGGGGUACGCCCUAACCUGCUCUCCCAUAA
rnacentral:rRNA from 1 species